UGCCCUGUGACUUAAGAGUUUAACGGCCGCGGUAUCUUGACCGUGCGAAGGUAGCGCAAUCACUUGUCCUUUAAAUGAGGACCCGUAUGAAUGGCAUAACGAGGGCUCAACUGUCUCCCCCCUCCAGUCAAUGAAAUUGAUUUUCCCGUGCAGAAGCGGGAAUGCUCCCAUAAGACGAGAAGACCCUAUGGAGCUUUAGACAUCAAGCAGCCCACAAAAAACAACCCAUACUAAUGGCUAUAGAACAACGUGAAACUCUGCUGAACUGUCUUCGGUUGGGGCGACCGUGGGAUACAAAAAACCUCCCAUGAGGACCGGGAAAACCUUCCCAAAACCAAGGGCUACCGCCCUAAGCAACAGAAACUCUGACCUUUAUGAUCCGGCCUCCCGGCCGAUCAACGGACCGAGUUACCCUAGGGAUAACAGCGCAAUCCCCUCCUAGAGCCCCCAUCGACGAGAGGGUUUACGACCUCGAUGUUGGAUCAGGACAUCCUAAUGGUGCAGCCGCUAUUAAGGGUUCGUUUGUUCAACGAUUAAAGUCCUACGUGAUCUGAGUUCAGACCGGACC
rnacentral:rRNA from 1 species